rnacentral:rRNA from 1 species
AGUGAACGCUGGCGGCAGGCCUAAUACAUGCAAGUCGAGCGAACAGACGAUAAGCGUUCUCCUCUACCGGUAGCGGCGGACGGAUGAGUGACACAUGGAUAACAUACUUAUUUUUCGUGGGGGACAUCGUAGAACCACAUCUGAUACCACAGAAUAUGUUCAACCGGUGAAUGCAAUGGAUCAACGCAGUUUUCGUGUUUCUUAUAGAUGAUGCCGUGCCGCAUUAGCUAGUUGGUAAGGUAACGGCCUACCAAGGCAACGAUGCGUAGCCGACCUGAGAGGGUGAUCGGCCACACUGGAACUGAGACACGGUCCAGACUCCUACGGGAGGCAGCAGUAGGGAAUCUUCCGCAAUGGGCGCAAGCCUGACGGAGCAACGCCGCGUGAGUGAUGAAGGUUUUCGGAUCGUAAAACUCUGUUAUUAGGGAAGAAAAAAUGUGUAAGUAACUAUGCACGUCUUGACGGUACCUAAUCAGAAAGCAACGGCUAACUACGUG